CUUGAACGCUGGCGGUAGGCCUAAAAAAUGCAAGUCGAGCGGAGCGGCGGACGGGUGCGUAAUGCCUAGGAAUCUGACUGGUAGUGGGGUAUAAAGUCCGGAAACGGGCGCUAAUACCGCAUACUAUCAGAUGAGCCUAGGUCGGAGUAGCUAGUUGUUGGGGUAAAGGCCUACCAAGGCGACGAGCCGUAACUGGUCUGCGAGGAUGAUCAGUCACACGGGAACUGAGACACGGUCAAGACUCCUACGGGAGGCAGCAGUGGGGAAUAUUGGACAAUGGGCGAAAGACUGAUCCAGCCAUGCCGCGUGUGUGAAGAAGGUCUUCUGAUUGUAAAGCACUUUAAGUUGGGAGGCGUUACCAACAGAAUAAGCACCGGCUAACUUCGUGCCAGCAGCCGCGGUAAUAC
rnacentral:rRNA from 1 species